GUCCUUGAGUAGUUAACAAGGAUCUACAGGACAGGAAUUGCUCCAACUCCCAGUUGGAGGAAGCAUUAGUUUUAUAAAUACAUUUCAGCCUUUUAAACUCAACUUUAUUUUCCACCAAGACACUGAAAAGAAACAGUACAUUCAUCUGUAUGUUAAAAGAAGACAAAAGACACCACACUGCUCAAGAAUUUAGAUCUGAGGUGUCACACAGUAGACUGGUUCCUAUGAGUAACCCAAUGGCAAUAGGAAUCUCUUUUCUGUGCUAACCCCUCUGCUUCUUAAACGAUGUGCUUUCAUUGGGAGCCCAGGUGUGUCCCCUGAGGGACUUCAUUCUGCGUGGAGCCUGAAACACAAAAUGGUGCUGGAGCCUCCUCUUUCACUCCCUCCCAGCUCCUUAGGAUCCUCACCCUGCUCCCACCAACCUCACUGACUGAAAUGUGCUCCGCCUUUUUUACUGGGAACAGAAACGGGAGUUCCGGGACAGGGGGAACGGAACAGAAGUGUGGCUGCCCCCCAGUCUGCCCUCACCUCCCCAGAAGGAAAAGCCAGGUUGGCAUUGGUAGUGAGCACCACACCACUUAUCCAGUAGAGGAAGGCAAAAGAAGAGGCACAGAGAGGACGAGGAAUGCAAAAUUCACUGAUUUUUUACUUUUGUGAAUGCCAUGAUAGUAUUGGUAUCUCCUGCUUUCCGUGCUGUCUACCAAUGGAGUCACGGUGCUGCCAUGGCAUUGAUGGAAGACUCUCAAACCACUGCAAGGCUCCCAGCUGGACAUCCCGUAACAGUUCAUUAUGAGGUUGCUUCUCCCAGUUGCCCUGGACCUGACAGCUGCCAGAGAAAUUAAACCUUGUUGCCAGUGAAGGAAACAGCAAUGACUUUCAGCUGUGUAGACUAAAACUGAAAACUUACAUCUUACUGCAAAGCUUCUUGGAAUAAACAGCUAUAUGUAGAUACAGCAAUAGUGGCUGAAAGACAGCUUCAUCCUGAGAACCAUGGGAACCAACCGGGAAGGAAUUACAGUGGGGAGGAAAAAAAAAAAAAAAAAAGAAAAAGCAAGACAGAUAGAAAGAAAGAUUGAAAUCUUUGGAAAUUCAAGAGAUACAGCUAUUGUGAAAUCAAGCCACCCAAAGAGGGAGCACGUGCAUAUCCACACAUAAAUUGUCCAAGCUGCCAUCCUCAAGUGCUUAGACAGUGCCAAGCAAGCAGCUGGCACUCCUGCAAAUACUUGACAGCAGCGACCUGGGCACAACACUGAAAACUGAUUAAAUGAUGUGGUAGGAGAUACAACAAACAGAGCUAUCUUCAAAAUGCUGUCAAAUGUGUGAAACAAGCAAGUUGAGAGAAAUGAAUAAAAGAAAAAGAGCUUCAUAUGCAUUUAGUUAAAAGAACUUUGGCUCCUAUUUUUAUUUUAAUGAAGAAUUGCUGUUUCUUUUUCUAGGAACUAUCAGUCAUCUCUUCCUCCUUCUCUUUAUCUAGAAAAAUUACUGAAUAUAGCACAGCAAUUAAUUUUUCUUCCAUGUCUUAAGCACCCUGCUUUCAAGUACCUGCUCCCCUUUA